AAGUCGUAACAAGGUUUCCGUAGGUGAACCUGCGGAAGGAUCAUUAACACAAAACAAUACACAGAUUUUGGUCUAAACACCCAAUCUCUAUGUAUAGUUCAUCUAAACCCGCGCUCCCUUUUUUUUCACACCUUUCUACCCAAACAUUUAAUACUGAAGAAUUAAUUAUAUAUUAUGUUAUGAAUGAGAAAUCAGUCUUAACAUUAGUAUAUAACAACAAUAUAACAAUUGUAAACAUACAACUGUUAACAAUGGAUAUCUAGGCUCUC
rnacentral:misc_RNA from 1 species